rnacentral:misc_RNA from 1 species
GAUGAAGAACGUAGCGAAACGCGAUAAGUAAUGUGAAUUGCAGAAUUCAGUGAAUCAUCGAAUCUUUGAACGCACAUUGCGCCCCCCAGUAUUCUGGCGGGCAUGCCUGUUCGAGCGUCAUUUCAACCAUCAAGCCCUGCUUGUGUUGGGGUCCUGCGGCUGCCCGCAGGCCCUGAAAACCAGUGGCGGGCUCGCUAGUCACACCGAGCGCAGUAGCACAUCUCGCUCAGGGCGUGCGGCGGGCUCCAGCCGUUAAAGCACCCACCUUUCGCAAGGUUGACCUCGGAUCAGGUAGGAAUACCCGCUGAACUUAAGCAUAUCAAUAAGCGGAGGA